rnacentral:ncRNA from 1 species
UGCUGCGGUGCCGGGAACGGUCUUUCCCGAGGAACACAAAGGUGAAAUGACCCGGCCAAGCCCCACCCCACCCGCUCCCGGCGACGCACUCACUCGCGCGAGUGAACAUCACCGACUCGGCUGGAUUCGUGGGCGGUUGGCUGCCCUACGCUCGGCGCAACACAACAGCAGACAUGCGACGGCCCUCGCCGGGACGCCAAUCCCAGUGCGAGGGCCUGACCACCGAGGAAGUAGGAGCUUCCCG